rnacentral:rRNA from 1 species
GACGAACGCUGGCGGCGUGCUUAACACAUGCAAGUCGAACGGAAAGGCCCUGCUUUUGUGGGGUGCUCGAGUGGCGAACGGGUGAGUAACACGUGAGUAACCUGCCCUUGACUUUGGGAUAACUUCAGGAAACUGGGGCUAAUACCGGAUAGGAGCUCCUGCUGCAUGGUGGGGGUUGGAAAGUUUCGGCGGUUGGGGAUGGACUCGCGGCUUAUCAGCUUGUUGGUGGGGUAGUGGCUUACCAAGGCUUUGACGGGUAGCCGGCCUGAGAGGGUGACCGGCCACAAUGGGACUGGGAUACGGCCCAGGCUCCUACGGGGAGCAACAGUUGGGAAUAUUGCACAAUGGGCGGAAGCCUGAUGCAGCAACGCCGCGUGCGGGAUGACGGCCUUCGGGUUGUAAACCGCUUUCGCCUGUGACGAAGCGUGAGUGACGGUAAUGGGUAAAGAAGCACCGGCUAACUACGUG